GAUGAACGCUGGCGGCGUGCCUAAUACAUGCCAGUCGAGCGAACGGACGAGAAGCUUGCUUUUCUGAUGUUAGCGGCGGACGGGUGAGUAACACGUGGAUAACCUACCUAUAAGACUGGGAUAACUUCGGGAAACCGGAGCUAAUACCGGAUAAUAUUUUGAACCGCAUGGUUCAAAAGUGAAAGACGGUCUUGCUGUCACUUAUAGAUGGAUCCGCGCUGCAUUAGCUAGUUGGUAAGGUAACGGCUUACCAAGGCAACGAUGCAUAGCCGACCUGAGAGGGUGAUCGGCCACACUGGAACUGAGACACGGUCCAGACUCCUACGGGAGGCAGCAGUAGGGAAUCUUCCGCAAUGGGCGAAAGCCUGACGGAGCAACGCCGCGUGAGCGAUGAAGGUCUUCGGAUCGUAAAACUCUGUUAUUAGGGAAGAACAUAUGUGUAAGUAACUGUGCACAUCUUGACGGUACCUAAUCAGAAAGCCACGGCUAACUACGUG
rnacentral:rRNA from 1 species